UACGUAGGGGGCAAGCGUUGUCCGGAUUUAUUGGGCGUAAAGAGCGUGUAGGCGGCUUUACAGGUCCGUUGUGAAAACUCGAGGCUCAACCUCGAGACGCCGGUGGAAACCGUAAAGCUAGAGUCCGGAAGAGGAGAGUGGAAUUCCUGGUGUAGCGGUGAAAUGCGCAGAUAUCAGGAGGAACACCAAUGGCGAAGGCAGCUCGCUGGGACGGUACUGACGCUGAGGCGCGAAAGCGUGGGGAGCAAACAGG
rnacentral:rRNA from 1 species